GAUGAACGCUGGCGGCGUGCCUAAUACAUGCAAGUCGAGCGAACAGACGAGGAGCUUGCUCCUCUGACGUUAGCGGCGGACGGGUGAGUAACACGUGGAUAACCUACCUAUAAGACUGGGAUAACUUCGGGAAACCGGAGCUAAUACCGGAUAAUAUAUUGAACCGCAUGGUUCAAUAGUGAAAGACGGUUUUGCUGUCACUUAUAGAUGGAUCCGCGCCGCAUUAGCUAGUUGGUAAGGUAACGGCUUACCAAGGCAACGAUGCGUAGCCGACCUGUGAGGGUGAUCGGCCACACUGGAACUGAGGCGCGGUCCAGACUCCUACGGGAGGCAGCAGUAGGGAAUCUUCCGCGAUGGGCGAAAGCCUGACGGAGCAACGGCGCGUGAGUGAUGAAGGUCUUCGGAUCGUAGAACUCUGUUAUGAGGGAAGAACAAAUGUGUAAGUAACUGUGCACGUCUGGACGGUACCUAGUCAGAAAGCCACGGCUAACUACGUG
rnacentral:rRNA from 1 species